AUACGUAGGGGGCAAGCGUUAUCCGGAAUUACUGGGCGUAAAGGGUGCGUAGGUGGCCUGACAAGUCAGGGGUCAAAGGCAACGGCUCAACCGUUGUAAGCCCUUGAAACUGUCGGGCUUGAGUUCAGGAGAGGAAAGCGGAAUUCCUAGUGUAGCGGUGAAAUGCGGAGAUAUUAGGAGGAACACCAGUGGCGAAGGCGGCUUUCUGGACGGAUACUGAAACUGAGGAACGAAGGCGUGGGGAGAAAACAGGAUUAGAUACCAUGUUAGGCCGCGCCGUAAACGAUGAGUACGAGGUGUCGGCCCUAAGGGUCGGUGCCGCAGUUAACACAUUAAGUACUCCGCCUGGGAAGUACGCUCGCAAGAGUGAAACUCAAAUGAAUUGACGGGG
rnacentral:rRNA from 1 species